rnacentral:rRNA from 1 species
AGUUCACUGCUAUNGGGGUUCGAUUAAGCCAUGCGAGUNGAGAGGGUUCGGCCCUCGGCGUACUGCUCAGUAACACGUGGAUAACCUGCCCUAGGGAAGAGGAUAACCCCGGGAAACUGGGGAUAAUACGCUAUAGAUUACAGAUGCUGGAAUGCCCUGUUAUCCAAAGUUCCGACGCCCUAGGAUGGAUCUGCGGCCGAUGAGGUUGUUGUUGGGGUAAUCGCCCAACANGCCCGUAAUCGGUACGGGUUGUGGGAGCAAGAGCCCGGAGUUGGAUUCUGAGACACGAAUCNAGGCCCUACGGGGCGCAGCAGGCGCGAAAACUGUACAAUGCGGGCAACCGUGAUAAGGGUACCUCGAGUGCCUGUAAAUGCAGGCUGUUCAGGAGCCUAAAACACACCUGAAGAAAGGGCUGGGCAAGACCGGUGCCAGCCGCCGCGGUAAUACCGGCGGCUCGAGUGGUGGCCGCUUUUAAUGGGCUUAAAGCGUUCGUAGCUGGGUUGUUAAGUCUCUUG